AAUGGUGGGUAAUCGCGGCUCAUGAAAACAUGAGUUGAGGAAAGUCCAGGCUCGCCCGGUGCUGAGAUGCCCGGAGUGUUCGUGCCAUCUGCAAAGAUGGGCAGCAGGCCAUGAUUCUGCUGACGGCGGUGAAAUUAGCUAAGUCCCUUGGGAUAUGCUGAAAUUAACCUUAAAGUGCCACAGUGACGAGUUCUUCUGGAAACGGAAGAAAUGGAACGAGGUAAACCCCGCGAGCGAGCAACCCAAACUUUGGUAGGGGCACCAUCCCGAGGGAAUAUAGAACCAAAAGGAUGGAUCGAUUCAAACGAAGUCGAUAGUCAUAUGAUUACACCUGUUGUGCGAGAUUGGCAUCGUUUAGCACGCAGGAACAGAACCUGGCUUACAGCC
rnacentral:RNase_P_RNA from 1 species